rnacentral:rRNA from 1 species
CAUGCAGAGAACUUUCCAGAGAUGGAUUGUGCCUUCGGGAACUCUGACACAGGUGCUGCAUGGCUGUCGUCAGCUCGUGUCGUGAGAUGUUGGGUUAAGUCCGUAACGAGCGCAACCCUUGUCCUUAGUUACCAGCACGUUAUGGUGGGCACUCUAAGGAGACUGCCGGUGACAAACCGGAGGAAGGUGGGGAGUGACGUCAAGUCAUCAUGGCCCUUACGGCCUGGGCUACACACGUGCUACAAUGGUCGGUACAAAGGGUUGCCAAGCCGCGAGGUGGAGCUAAUCCCAUAAAACCGAUCGUAGUCCGGAUCGCAGUCUGCAACUCGACUGCGUGAAGUCGGAAUCGCUAGUAAUCGUGAAUCAGAAUGUCACGGUGAAUACGUUCCCGGGCCUU